GACAAGAAGAAUCUAACUGUUUAAUUAAAACAAAGCAUUGCGUUGAUUUCCAUGGAUGUUAACACAAUGUGAUUUCUAUCUAAUGCUCUCAAUGUCAAAGUGAAAAAAAUCAUCAAGUGCGUUUAAAUGGCGGAAGUAACUAUGAUUUUAUUAAGGUAGCCAAAUGUUUCGUCAUCUAAUUAAUGACGUGCAUGAAUAACUAUGAUUUUA
rnacentral:ncRNA from 1 species